UCCUACGGGGAGCAGCAGUGGGGAAUAUUGCACAAUGGGCGAAAGCCUGAUGCAGCGACGCCGCGUGAGGGAUGACGGCCUUCGGGUUGUAAACCUCUUUCGACAGGGACGAAGCGCAAGUGACGGUACCUGUAGAAGAAGCACCGGCCAACUACGUGCCAGCAGCCGCGGUAAUACGUAGGGUGCGAGCGUUGUCCGGAAUUACUGGGCGUAAAGAGCUUGUAGGCGGUUUGUCGCGUCUUCUGUGAAAACUUGGGGCUCAACCCCAAGCUUGCAGGCGAUACGGGCAGACUAGAGUACUUCAGGGGAGACUGGAAUUCCUGGUGUAGCGGUGAAAUGCGCAGAUAUCAGGAGGAACACCGGUGGCGAAGGCGGGUCUCUGGGAAGUAACUGACGCUGAGAAGCGAAAGCAUGGGUAGCGAACAGGAUUAGAUACCCUGGUAGUCCAUGCCGUAAACGGUGGGCGCUAGGUGUGGGUUUCCUUCCACGGGAUCCGUGCCGUAGCUAACGCAUUAAGCGCCCCGCCUGGGAGAGGCCACGGU
rnacentral:rRNA from 1 species